rnacentral:tRNA from 1 species
AAGGAUUUAGGUUAAAUUAAACCGUUAGCCUUCAAAGUUGAAGACAGGCUAAUUAAAGGUCUAAGCCUUA